GAUGAACGCUGGCGGCGUGCCUAAUACAUGCAAGUCGAGCGAACAGAUGAGGAGCUUGCUCCUCUGACGUUAGCGGCGGACGGGUGAGUAACACGUGGAUAACCUACCUAUAAGACUGGGAUAACUUCGGGAAACCGGAGCAAAUACGGGAUAAUAUUUGGAACCCCAGGGUUCAUUAGUGAAAGAGGUUUUUGUUGUCACUAAUAGAGGGAUCCGCGCCGCAUUAGCUAGUUGGUAAGGUAACGGCUUACCAAGGCGACGAUGCGUAGCCGACCUGAGAGGGUGAUCGGCCACACUGGAACUGAGACACGGUCCAGACUCCUACGGGAGGCAGCAGUAGGGAAUCUUCCGCAAUGGGCGAAAGCCUGACGGAGCAACGCCGCGUGAGUGAUGAAGGUCUUCGGAUCGUAAAACUCUGUUAUUAGGGAAGAACAAAUGUGUAAGUAACUAUGCACGUCUUGACGGUACCUAAUCAGAAAGCCACGGCUAACUACGUG
rnacentral:rRNA from 1 species